CGACGCGACGCCGCCGGGAACACCGGCGGCCCGAGUGGUGAUCGUGAUUAUUGGGUCUAAAGGGUCCGUAGCCGGUUUGGUCAGUCCUCCGGGAAAUCUGAUAGCUCAACUAUUAGGCUUUCGGGGGAUACUGCCAGACUUGGAACCGGGAGAGGUAAGAGGUACUACAGGGGUAGGAGUGAAAUCUUGUAAUCCCUGUGGGACCACCUGUGGCGAAGGCGUCUUACCAGAACGGGUUCGACGGUGAGGGACGAAAGCUGGGGGCACGAACCGGAUUAGAUACCCGGGUAGUCCCAGCCGUAAACGAUGCUCGCUAGGUGUCAGGCAUGGCGCGACCGUGUCUGGUGCCGCAGGGAAGCCGUGAAGCGAGCCACCUGGGAAGUACGGCCGCAAGGCUGAAACUUAAAGGAAUUGGCGGGGGAGCACAACAACGGGUGGAGCCCUGCGGUUUAAUUGGACUCAACGCCGGACAACUCACCGGGGGCGACAGCAAUAUGUAGGCCAAGCUGAAGACUUUGCCUGAAUCGCUGAGAGGUGGUGCAUGG
rnacentral:rRNA from 1 species